GAUGAACGCUGGCGGCGUGCCUAAUACAUGCAAGUCGAGCGAACAGACGAGGAGCUUGCUCCUCUGACGUUAGCGGCGGACGGGUGAGUAACACGUGGAUAACCUACCUAUAAGACUGGGAUAACUUCGGGAAACAGGAGCUAAUACCGGAUAAUAUAUUGAACCGCAUGGUUCAAUAGUGAAUGACGGUUUUGCUGUCACUUAUAGAUGGAUCCGCGCCGCAUUAGCUAGUUGGUAAGGUAACGGCUUACCAAGGCAACGAUGCGUAGCCGACCUGAGAGGGUGAUCGGCCACACUGGAACUGAGACACGGUCCAGACUCCUACGGGAGGCAGCAGUAGGGAAUCUUCCGCAAUGGGCGAAAGCCUGACGGAGCAACGCCGCGUGAGUGAUGAAGGUCUUCGGAUCGUAAAACUCUGUUAUUAGGGAAGAACAAAUGUGUAAGUAACUAUGCACGUCUUGACGGUACCUAAUCAGAAAGCCACGGCUAACUACGUG
rnacentral:rRNA from 1 species